ensembl:lncRNA
UCAAACCACUAAAAUCUCAGUUGCAGUAAUGUGGGUGGAGCAGCUCAACAACAAACUGCAGGUUGGUACCAGAAUCAAAGCUCCGUCCUACAGUCAUUGUGUUCUUGUACUAAUCUGUGUCGUGUCUUUAAACUCGCUCUUCUGCUUUCAAGUGAUGACGGCUGUCAGUGAAUCACUUAAACACUGAAAGGAGCUGAAAACGUGAUGUUUUUCAGGCUGAUCGUGAAGAGGAGACGUAUACUGACUUCAGUCGUCAGACUGUGGGCUCGUUCUCGUCCAUCAUCUGAGCAGUCUUCAUGGACUGGUUUCACUCUGUUUCUCUGUGGAUUUUUAUUCUCAGCUUGGAUUUUGUUAAAGGAUCAUUUGUAGUGGAUGUGACGCAGAGCUCCUAUCAGGCAGAGGAGAACCACGACAUCACACUGGAGUGGACGUUCACCACCAAACCAGACACGACCAUCUCAGCACUGAGGAUCCUCUGUAGCCUGAAUAAUGACUUAACUCUGUAUUAUCUCCUUGAUGGUGUCGAGUUCUCAGAAGUUCAGGAUGAAGAGUUUUCAGGACGAGUCCAGAGUGACAAAGACGCCCUCAGAGAAGGACGAAUCAGACUCCAGCUGUCCAGACUCAGGACUGAUGACUCAGGUCUGUACCUGUGUGAGGUGGACACAGGUUAUGGCCGUGGCUACAACAGCUGCAGAGUCACCGUCUCUGAAUCAAAGUCUGAGAAAAAAGAAAAAUCUCGGCAACCUGGAAGAAUCCGACCAGAUCUGGAUAAAGAAUCCAAAGUCAAAGUGUGGGGAAUAAUUAUCCUUGCUGUAUAUAUGUGUGGCUUGCUGAUGCUGUGUGGAUAUGUGCUUCUUCUGAAAUGUCUAAACCAAAUUGAAACUUCCUCACACAAAUCCAGGGAGUUCACGAUGACGAACGUUUCAGCAGGUGAAACUCCUCAUUCAGUGUCAGGACUGACAAGAACAGCUGGAAACUGUAGAGCCAGACUGUGAAUAGAAACUAAUCACAACAACAUGUUGAUAUUUGGAAAUUUUUAGUUUGAGGCUUGUAACAAGUUUUUACCUGAACCCGGCACAACACUCUCUCACACACACACACACACACACACACACACACACACCUCUGGGUUAUGCUGGAGUUCACUUCAUUUACAGUGUUUGGAGCUGAAGUCUUGGAUCAGCUCCUGUGUGGCCCUGUAGCUCCAACCAGCUCUCACUCAGCUCUGUCCCACUCUGCUGCUUACUGAACAAGGUAACGAGAUGUUCAGUAAGUUGGUGUCAAGAACCAGCGGAGGGAAACAUUUGAAUCCAGGGCUUCAGUCUCAUGUUGACAUCUUUCAACUCAUUCUGAGACAAACCAGCUGGAUCGAGUUGAACAAGAUUUCCAAAACUUUAAAGAAUCUGUGAUUUAUAUUGAUUUUAAGUGGGUUUAAAGAAACCUGCUAUGAAUGAUGAGUGGGGGAAUAGAUAAACUGAACAGCACGAUAUAAACUCUGACUGGAUGUUUCAGUGACAUCGUUAAAAAAAUCUGUUUGUCAGAAAAAAAUCUGAUUUCUGACAAACAGCAUUUCUGCAGAUCAGUCAGUAGAUGGCAGCAUCCUGUUAAUCUGCCUGCACAAUGUUGUUUAUAUUAUAUUUAUAGUAAACAUGCAUACUGGUUUGUACACAGUGUGUAUAUUAUUUAUAUUGUUUCCUUAAAUGAAUAAACUUGAUCAACAAAACCACUUCAGGUGUUUGAUGUGUUUUUAAUUUUAAUUUUUAUUCCAGACUGAACAUAAAACUUUUUAAUCGUUUGUUCUGCUGCUGUAUUUUUAAUAUAACAGCAUGUUUUCUAAAUUAUAUAUGAUGCUGAAGGUUGGGGACGACAGCUUUAAGCUACAAAUAGUUUAGAAGUGCUGGAGUAUGUGAUGGUUUACAGUACAUACAGUAGUUUAUAGUCACAGUCAUUUAGGAAACAGGGCAG